UUUUUACUGAUAAUUUUGUCGUUAAAUUGAAAAAAAUAACAAACUAGUUUGUUAUAGAGGACCAGAGUGUAUUCAAUUAUGCAAGUGCGUUAAUUUCUACAGUUACAAGAUUGGAUUCAUUUUAUUUCUUCAGAUGGAGACCGAGUGAUGGCUACGAUUCCUUCGUCAUCAAACAACCGUUGAUUGAUUUCACCUUGGCUCAAUUCGGCGAAAAUCAAUUCCAGCGUCGUAAUCUGUUUGGAGAAUUCGAGCCCAGUGACUGGUUUUAUGGUUUCCUACUCCGUCCCUUGAUGAGGUGAAUAUUACCAGGAAAUCCGACAAUCGACUUUCAUGAAAUAGGCCCAUGCAACCAAUGAACUCCGUUUGAUCAUUUCGUGCGAGUGUAAAUGUGCUGCUCACGAGGACGUCUUUUCUCCAGUUUUCCGCCACAUCUCUAAUUGGACCUACCUUUUGAUCUCUGUGAAUGGAACUUGGAGAUGGCUGGCCGUAUUUCUCAGGUUUCAAGAUGUGACAACACCUGAGCCAACACCCUCAACCAACCACUACGACAAGUUUUGCUUCUCCAUGCCAUGGUGUCAACCAGACAUCAGCAGGGAUCUCAGAUUCCUUAAUAAGUUGAAUUCCGUCUGAUGCAUCCUCCGAUCUGGCGAUCUCCCAUCUUUCACUGACUCCUCGUGUACGUCUAUUUUAGUGAGAAUUCAUCACGAGGACGUCCUUUCUCCCCACCUGACAUCUCUAUAAUUUAUCUUUCCUGCGAACGGAAACUGAAGGUGCUCGGCGGUAUUUCCCUGACUUGAAGUAGCGUUUGAGGAAAAUGGCCAGUAGAAUAAUGGCAACGACGACAAAGGACGCCACUGCAACGGCAGCAAUGAUUCCGGUUCCCACUCCGUGGAUCAUGACUUUAAAACACUUUUCUGCCGAUCCUUUGAAGUUGGUGAAUCGACAACAGUACGUGGUGUCGGUGCUGGCGUAGGAAACAGUGAGGAUACUGUUGAGCCCAUCAUCCGUCGUAUUGAUGUCAUGGUACUUGGUCCGUCCGUCGUCCAGGAUUUCUUCGACCGGUUUUUUCCUCUGUACAUCAGAUUGAGAAGGAUAACUCGAACGGAUGGAUGAGUCGGACCACAGCCAACCUGGACAUCGGAUUCCGAAUAAUAGCCAAUGACUCUACUCAUCAUCCUCCACUGAUUGAGGUCCCAGCCAUUCAACUUGACCGACACUAGUAAGGCACGUCAAAUUGAAAGUCGAUCCACUUUGGAAAAUGUGAAUUUUAUUUUCCUGAUCCUGAAUCCGUCCGUGAAAUCGCCCAUCGUCGUGUUGGCUCGAAUCUGGAAAACAUAUACAAAGUGGCGUUGCUUGUUGACUGGCUGACAUCGUUCGAAUCUCGACACUGGUAGAUGCCCGAAGCUUCUUUCGGGACUGCAGUCCACCGGAUGCGACUGACGACAGACGCAAUGAAAGUGAAACCGAUAUCCUG